UAGAGAUAGAGCUUUCCUCUUCGGAGGACAAAGUGACAGGUGGUGCAUGGUUGUCGUCAGCUCGUGUCGUGAGAUGUUGGGUUAAGUCCCGCAACGAGCGCAACCCUUGAACUUAGUUGCCAUCAUUCAGUUGGGCACUCUAAGUUGACUGCCGGUGACAAACCGGAGGAAGGUGGGGAUGACGUCAAAUCAUCAUGCCCCUUAUGAUUUGGGCUACACACGUGCUACAAUGGACAAUACAAAGGGCAGCAAAACCGCGAGGUCAAGCAAAUCCCAUAAAGUUGUUCUCAGUUCGGAUUGUAGUCUGCAACUCGACUACAUGAAGCUGGAAUCGCUAGUAAUCGUAGAUCAGCAUGCUACGGUGAAUACGUUCCCGGGUCUUGUACACACCGCCCGUCACACCACGAGAGUUUGUAACACCCGAAGCCGGUGGAGUAACCAUUUGGAGCUAGCCGUCGAAGGUGGGACAAAUGAUUGGGGUGAAGUCGUAACAAGGUAGCCGUAUCGGAAGGUGCGGCUGGAUCACCUCCUUUCUAAGGA
rnacentral:rRNA from 1 species